ACCCUGGUGGUACAAUGGUUAAGCACUUGGCUGCUAACCAAAAGGUUGGUGGUUCAAAACCACCCAGUGGCU
rnacentral:tRNA from 1 species